rnacentral:tRNA from 1 species
GGAUAGGUGUCCGAGUGGUCGAAGGAGCACGACUGGAAAUCGUGUGUACGGCGAACAAGCCGUACCGUGGGUUCGAAUCCCACCCUAUCCG